CCUACGGGGGGCAGCAGUGGGGAAUAUUGGACAAUGGGGGCAACCCUGAUCCAGCCAUGCCGCGUGUGUGAAGAAGGCCCUCGGGUUGUAAAGCACUUUCAGUGAGGAAGAACGCCUGGUGGUUAAUACCCAUCAGGAAAGACAUCACUCACAGAAGAAGCACCGGCUAACUCCGUGCCAGCAGCCGCGGUAAUACGGAGGGUGCGAGCGUUAAUCGGAAUUACUGGGCGUAAAGCGCGCGUAGGUGGCUUGAUAAGCCGGUUGUGAAAGCCCCGGGCUCAACCUGGGAACGGCGUCCGGAACUGUCAAGCUAGAGUGCAGGAGAGGAAGGUAGAAUUCCCGGUGUAGCGGUGAAAUGCGUAGAGAUCGGGAGGAAUACCAGUGGCGAAGGCGGCCUUCUGGACUGACACUGACACUGAGGUGCGAAAGCGUGGGUAGCAAACAGGAUUAGAUACCCGAGUAGUC
rnacentral:rRNA from 1 species